CAAGAAAUAGGGUUCCAAAAUUCGUUGGAAGGGGAAAGGGGCUCUUCAAACCUUGUUCUGAUUGACUGCUAAUUAACCGAAUAGCUGUGGUGAUCGAAGGCGAACACGACGGUCCUGAUAUUCUUCAUCAAAGCUUUACUGCAGUGUCCCAAAACAGAGAGAGGAUCACAGCCGAACGAUGCACUCAAAAUAGAGAGAGGAUCAAAAUCAAUUGUUGUGAGAGGCGAAUGGUGCACUCAUAUCUUCGGCGGCCAGACUAGUUCGACGAAGGAACAUGAUGACUAAAUUGCUGAUAGCUUCUGGUGGACAAUAGAGAUAACUGAAUAGAAAUGGGAGGCUGUUGCUGCUGCUGUUCUAAAGGAGGGGGACUAAACAGUUCGCCGCCAUUCUAUCAUAGGGACACCAUCAAUCAAAUUUUGCGAUAUGCAAGCAAGAAUCGACUUCCAGAAAGUUUGAAAGAGCAAAUGCUGGCAAA